rnacentral:rRNA from 1 species
AGAUUGAACGCUGGCGGCAUGCCUUACACAUGCAAGUCGAACGGCAGCACGGGGGCAACCCUGGUGGCGAGUGGCGAACGGGUGAGUAAUGCAUCGGAACGUGCCCAGUAGUGGGGGAUAACUAGUCGAAAGAUUAGCUAAUACCGCAUACGACCUAUGGGUGAAAGCGGGGGAUUCGCAAGAACCUCGCGCUAUCGGAGCGGCCGAUGUCUGAUUAGCUAGUUGGCGGGUAAAGCCCACCAAGUCUUCGAUCAGUAGCUGGUCUGAGAGGACGACCAGCCACACUGGGACUGAGACACGGCCCAGACUCCGUACGGGAGCAG